UCAGGGAAAUCACAGGCUAGAGUGAAAUUGACAAAUUGCCUCCUGAGAGGCAUGUCUCAGGACAUGCCUCUCACAAACAUCAGAAGCCCAGAGAGGGAACUUCAAUAUGGCGGAGAAGUAAGACGUGGAGAUCACCUUCCUCCCCACAAAUACAUCAAAUAUACAUCUACAUGUGGAACAACUCCUACAGAACACCUACUGAAUGCUGGCAAAAGACCUCAGACCUCCCAAAAGGCAAGAAAUUCCCCACAUAUCUGUGUAGGGCAGAAGAAAAAAGAAAAAACAAAGACAAAAGAAUAGGGACAGGACCUGCACUUCUGGGCAGCAGCUGAAUAAAGAAAAAAGAAUGAAAAGAAUUGAGGACAGUCUCAGAACCUCUGGGACAACAUUAAAUGCACCAACAUUUGAAUGAUAGGGAUCCCAGAAGAAGUGAAAAAAAAAGGGACUGAGAAAGUAUUUGAAGAGAUUAUAGUUGAAAACUUCCCUAAUAUGGGAAAGGAAAUAGUCAUCAAGUCCAGGAAGCACAGAGAGUCCCAUACAGGAUAAAUCCAAGGAGAAACAUGCAAAGACACAUAUUAAUCAAACUAUCAAAAAUUAAAUACAAAGAAAAAAUAUUAAAAGCAGCAAGGGAAAAACAACAAAUAACAUACAAGGGAAUCCCCAUAAGUUUAACAGCUGAUCUUUCAGCAGAAACUCUGCAAGUCAGAAGGGACUGGCAGGGCAUAUUCAAGGUGAUGAAAGGGAAGAACCUACAACCAAGAUUACUCUACCCAGCAAGGAACUCCUUCAGAUUCAACGGAGAAUUAAAACCUUUACAGACAAGCAAAAGUGAAGAGAAUUCAGCACCACCAAACCAGCUUUACAACAAAUGCGAAAGGAACUUCUCUAGGCAGGAAACACAAGAGAAGGAAAAGACCUACAAUAACAAACCCAAAAUAAUUAAGAAAAUGGUAAUAGGAACAUACAUAUUGAUAACUACCUUAAAUGUAAAUGGCUUAAAUGCUCCAACCAAAAGACAUAGACUGGCUGAAUGGAUACAAAAACAAGACCCAUAUAUAUGCUGUCUACAAGAGACCCAUUUCAGACCUAGGGACACAUACAGACUGAAAGUGAGGGGAUGGAAAAAGAUAUUCCAUGCAAAUGGAAAACAAAAGAAAACUGGAGUAUGAAUUCUCAUAUCAGACAAAAUAGACUUUAAAAUAAAGACUAUUACAAGAGACAAAGAAGGACAUAAUGAUCAAGGGAUCAAUCCAAUAAGAAGAUAUAACAGUUGUAAACAUUUAUGCACCCAAGAUAGGACCACCUCAAUACAUAAGGCAAAUGCUAACAGCUAUAAAAGGGGAAAUUGACAGUAACACAAUCAUAUUAGGGGACUUUAACACCACAGUUUCACCAAUGGACAGAUCAUCCAAAAUGAAAAUAAACACAAGCUUUAAAUGAUACAUUAAACAAGAUGGACUUAAUUGAUAUUUAUAGGACAUUCCAUCCAAAAACAAGAGAAUACACUUUCUUCUCAAGUGCUCAUGGAACAUUCUCCAGGAUAGAUCAUAUCUUGGGUCACAAAUUAAGCCUUGGUAAAUUUAAGAAAAUUGAAAUCUAUCAGGUAUAUUUUCCAACCACAACACUAUGAGACUAGAUAUCAAUUACAGGGAGAA